GGCCUGAUGGUCUAGUAGUAUGAUUCGCCCUUAGGGUUCAAGCAGUUCACUGCUUACCUCAUGGGCGAGGUCCCGGGUUCAAUUCCCGGUUAGGCCC